AGUGCAUAGCUCUGUGGUGGAGCGCUUGCUUAGCGUGCAUGAGGUCCUGGGUUCAAUCCCCAGCACUU
rnacentral:tRNA from 1 species